rnacentral:lncRNA from 1 species
ACGGGAGGAUCGGGGAACAGAUAUGUCGAUGAGGAAGAGUAAUAACCGGUAAAGAGAUCAAAAUCCCAGGGUUUGGAAAAUCGUACCCGGAUAGAGAUGAUGGUCUUCCUCUGAUGUCUCCAAGCCGGCCAUAAUAGAAUAGAUAGAGCCUAUUACAAUAGAAUCGCAUCUCGCAGAAUCAAUCACGUUUAUUAGAAGUGGACAAUAGAGUGGAAGCUGGGGAAAUGGUUGAAAUAUCGCUCAACAUAAAAAGAAACCUACUUCUUUGAAACAAAAAAUCCGGCGUAGAAACUGUUUGAAGGUGAUUUGAUGGCAGAUAUUCUGUGGGGAAAACGCUUGGACUUGGAAGAAUCGCGUAUCCCUGAAGAUCGAAGAGCUUAGUGUGAAACGCUCAGGAAAAGAGAAAAACCAAGGACCUAUGGAAGAAAAAAGUCGAUGUGGUGUAGAGGUUUUUGAUGUAGUCAAUAUCUUUAUGCGCAGGAUUGAGU